rnacentral:rRNA from 1 species
GACGAACGCUGGCGGCGCGCCUAACACAUGCAAGUCGAACGGAGCUGAGAGAAGCUUGCUUUUCUUAGCUUAGUGGCGCACGGGUGAGUAACGCGUGAGUAACCUGCCCUGGAGUGGGGGACAACAGUUGGAAACGACUGCUAAUACCGCAUAAGCCCACGAUCCGGCAUCGGAUUGAGGGAAAAGGAUUUAUUCGCUUCAGGAUGGACGCGCGUCCAAUUAGCUAGUUGGUGAGGUAACGGCCCACCAAGGCGACGAUUGGUAGCCGGACUGAGAGGUUGCCCCGCCACGUUGGGACUGAGACACGGCCCAGACUCCUACGGGAGGCAGCAGUGGGGGAUAUUGCACAAUGGGGGAAACCCUGAUGCAGCGACGCGGCGUGGAGGAAGAAGGUUUUCGGAUUGUAAACUCCUGUCGUUAGGGACGAUAAUGACGGUACCUAACAAGAAAGCACCGGCUAACUACGUG